GAUUGAACGCUGGCGGCAGGCCUAACACAUGCAAGUCGAACGGUAACCGGAAGCAGCUUGCUGCUUUGCUGACGAGUGGCGGACGGGUGAGUAAUGUCUGGGAAACUGCCUGAUGGAGGGGGAUAACUACUGGAAACGGUAGCUAAUACCGCAUAACGUCGCAAGACCAAAGAGGGGGACCUUCGGGCCUCUUGCCAUCGGAUGUGCCCAGAUGGGAUUAGCUAGUAGGUGGGGUAACGGCUCACCUAGGCGACGAUCCCUAGCUGGUCUGAGAGGAUGACCAGCCACACUGGAACUGAGACACGGUCCAGACUCCUACGGGAGGCAGCAGUGGGGAAUAUUGCACAAUGGGCGCAAGCCUGAUGCAGCCAUGCCGCGUGUAUGAAGAAGGCCUUCGGGUUGUAAAGUACUUUCAGCGGGGAGGAAGGGAGUAAAGUUAAUACCUUUGCUCAUUGACGUUACCCGCAGAAGAAGCACCGGCUAACUCCGUG
rnacentral:rRNA from 1 species